ACGUGAACAGCAUUUGGACGUGGGUGAGUCGGUCCUAAGAGAUGGGCGAAAGCCUGGUUAGUAAGGGUGCAGAUGUGUCGUCCCUCAGGGGGCAGGCAUGUCCGGGUUGUGUGUGUGGUUCUUCACGGGGCCAUGCGUGCUUUAGUGGCACCAGCUCUCGAAAGGGCAUCGGGUUAAUAUUCCCGAACCAGACACCUGGAUGCUGCCCGUGGACUGGCCUCCCUGCAAGGGGGGGUUGGGCUGCGGGUGGAGCACGGCAACGUAUAUGUAUGUGUGUAUACUCGGCGACGCUUGCGAUAGCCCUGGGAAGAGUUGUCUUUUCUUCUUAACCGUACCAACCGUGUGCACAGCCCUGGAAGCAGUUUACCUUGAGAGAGGGCUGGAGGUCGGGUAAAGCGCUGCACUUAUUGCAGCGUCCAGUGCGCUGUCGAGAGUCCCUGAAAAGCUGAGUCAGGACUGGAUCAUGUUAGUCUCGUGUCUGGCCGUACCCAUCACCGCAUCAGGUCUCC
rnacentral:rRNA from 1 species